ensembl:snoRNA
ACAGCUGAAGAGAGAUUAAGGCGAAUGCGACUUGGUGCUGUCUGACCCUUGGCUCCUGGUGGUGGGGUGGUGGAUAUAGGCGGGAUCUGCAGUCUUAGUGGGGGUACCCGAGGCCGGCUCCCCACUGUAAGGCCAGAUCAAUAGCACUACUGGCCUCGCCUCUGUUUCUGCUGCUGCCCCCAGUUCCCGGCAACAGCCUGCAGGGAGGCCCACAGGUGGGACCCAAAGAAGAGGGGGGAAUAAAAAGGAAAAAGAAAAAUAAUGAAAAUAUCAGCAUGCAUUACAUGUGGUA